CGCACAUUGCGCCCUCUGGUAUUCCGGGGGGCACGCCUGUUCGAGCGUCAUUUGAUCAAUCAAGCCCGGCUUGGUACUGGGCGCCGCCCGCGAGGGCCCGUCCGAAAUGCAGCGGCGCGAUCGUCCGGAGAAGAAUGCAUUGGAAAACUCCAUUCUUGCCUCUGCGGCGGUCGUUGCCUCGACCUCCAACUCUGAAAAUUGACCUCGGAUCAGGCGAGAUUACCCGCUGAACUUAA
rnacentral:misc_RNA from 1 species